GUAGGGACCUUUCACGGUUUCUGUGUCGUAGCUAACGCAUUAAGCGCCCCGCCUGGGGAGUACGGCCGCAAGGCUAAAACUCAAAGGAAUUGACGGGGGCCCGCACAAGCGGCGGAGCAUGCGGAUUAAUUCGAUGCAACGCGAAGAACCUUACCAAGGCUUGACAUACACCGGAAACGGCCAGAGAUGGUCGCCCCCUUGUGGUCGGUGUACAGGUGGUGCAUGGUUGUCGUCAGCUCGUGUCGUGAGAUGUUGGGUUAAGUCCCGCAACGAGCGCAACCCUCGUUCUAUGUUGCCAGCGGGUUAUGCCGGGGACUCAUAGGAGACUGCCGGGGUCAACUCGGAGGAAGGUGGGGAUGACGUCAAAUCAUCAUGCCCCUUAUGUCUUGGGCUUCACGCAUGCUACAAUGGCCGGUACAAAGGGCUGCGAUACCGUAAGGUGGAGCGAAUCCCAAAAAGCCGGUCUCAGUUCGAUUGAGGUCUGCAACUCGACCUCAUGAAGUCGGAGUCGCUAGUAAUCGCA
rnacentral:rRNA from 1 species